rnacentral:rRNA from 1 species
CCUACGGGUGGCUGCAGUGGGGAAUAUUGGGCAAUGGAGGAAACUCUGACCCAGCAACGCCGCGUGAAUGAUGAAGGUCUUCGGAUUGUAAAGUUCUUUUCUUAGGGAAGAAGAAAGUGACGCUACCUUAGGAAUAAGCCUCUGCUAACUUCGUGCCAGCAGCAGCGGUAAUACGUAGGAGCCGAGCGUUAUCCGGAAUGAGUGGGCGUAAAGGGUGCGUAGGUGGGUUGGCAAGUUAGUAGCGUAACUCCAAGGCUCAACCUUGGAACUACUACUGAAACUGUUUGACUUGAGUGCAGGAGAGGCAAGCGGAAGUCCUAGUGUAGCGGUGAAAUGCGUAGAUAUUAGGAGGAACACCAGUGGCGAAGGCGGGUUGCUAGACUGUAACUGACACUGAGGCACGAAAGCGUGGGGAGCAAACAGGAUUAGAUACCCUGGUAGUC